rnacentral:rRNA from 1 species
UACGGGGGGGGUAAGCGUUGUUCGGAAUUACUGGGCGUAAAGGGCUCGUAGGCGGCCAACUAAGUCAUACGUGAAAUCCCUCGGCUCAACCGAGGAACUGCGCCCUAAACUACCGUGCUCGAGGGAGAUAGAGGUGAGCGGAACUUAGGGUGGAGCGGUGAAAUGCGUUGAUAUCCUAAGGAACACCCGUGGCGAAAGCGGCUCACUGGGUCUCUUCUGACGCUGAGGCACGAAAGCUAGGGUAGCGAACGGG